rnacentral:lncRNA from 1 species
AAGCAGCUGAGGGUGGGGUCAGGCGGGAAAUCGAUCUUUCUAGAAGCAGGAAUGGGGAGAAUCCUGGAGGACGGGAAUGUCUGGAGGCUCGGGGUGGCUAUUCUGGGACUUUUCAGGGACUCUACAGCCCCUGAGCUUUUCACUGCUGGUUUGGCCUCCAAAUUUUUGGGUUUUUGGGGAGCAUCUGGCGAUCUGCUCCUCUGGCAGAGCUGCCGCCCAUCCCCACAACUUGGCGAAGGUGACAAAAAUCCCGUUGGGGUGGUUUGGGCGCCCUUGCUGUCGCAUCAGGGAUUUUACCCGCUGCGGAUCCAGGUGGCACCGAGGGCACCUCCAGCUCUUCCCAGCGGCUUUUUCCCCGCAUCCCUGGAGGGAGGGAAGGGCUGGAAGUAGGGCUCGGGCCCGCCUCCCCAGCUCGGCGGUGACGGGCACGGCGCUUUUCCCUCCCUGUCACUUCGCUCCCCUCCCUUUCAGCACCGCCACCGCGCUGUCACCGCCGGCAGCGGGGACUUUCCUCGGGCCCACCGGGGUCCCCGAGCUGUUACCGCGCCGCAAACACCGAGCACGAGGUUCCUCCUUGAUGGGAGGAACGAAAGGAGGAAUCCCUCCCACAUCCAGGAGAGAGCUCCUGCCUGGAUCCCAGCUGGGAAUGGGGAUUUGAUUCCUGCAUCCGCAGCCAGAGCCAUGGAAAAAAGGGAAUUAAUAAUCCAGCCGUGAUUCGAGGAGGGUGAGGAGGACAAAGGCACAGCCCAGCCCUGCAGGGACUCCUGGUGGGAUCCAGAAUUUCCCUCCUGACAGGAGCAAAUCCAGCCUGUCCUCAUUGCCACCCCAAAAAUCAGCCUGUCCCCAAAAACACCCCAAAUCCAGCUUGUCCUCAUUGCCACCCCAAAUCCAGCCUGUCCCCAAAAGCACCCCAAAUCCAGCUUGUCUUCAUUGUCACCCCAAAUCCAGCCUGUCCCCAUUGUCACCCCAAACCCAGCUUGUCCCCAUUGUCACCCCAAAAAUCAGUUUGUCCCCAAAAACACCCCAAAAAUUCGCCUGUCCCCAAAACCACCCGAAAUCCAGCCUGUCCCCACUGCUACCCCAAAUCCAGCCUGUCCCCAUUGUCACCACAAAAACAGCUUGUCCUCAUUACCACCCCAAAAAUCAGCCUGUCCCCAAAAACACCCCAAAUCCAGCUUGUCCUCAUUGCCACCCCAAAUCCAGCCUGUCCCCAAAAGCACCCCAAAUCCAGCUUGUCCUCAUUGCCACCCCAAAUCCAGCCUGUCCCCAAAAGCACCCCAAAUCCAGCUUGUCCUCAUUGCCACCCCAAAUCCAGCCUGUCCCCAAAAGCACCCCAAAUCCAGCUUGUCCUCAUUGCCACCCCAAAUCCAGCCUGUCCCCAAAAGCACCCCAAAUCCAGCUUGUCCUCAUUGCCACCCCAAAUCCAGCCUGUCCCCAAAAGCACCCCAAAACCACCCGAAACCCAGCCUGUCCCCACUGCUACCCCAAAUCCAGCCUGUCCCCAUUGUCACCACAAAAACAGCUUGUCCUCAUUACCACCCCAAAAAUCAACCUGUCCCCACUGUGACCCCAAACCAGCCUGUCCUUACUGCUGUCCCAAAUCCAGCCUGUCCUCAUUGUCACCCCAAAAAUCAGCCUGUCCCCAAAACCACCCCAAAUCCAGCCUGUCCCCACUGUGACCCCAAAUCCAGCCCGUCCCCAUCGCCACCCCAAAAAUCAGUUUGUCCCCACUGUGACCCCAAACCAGCCUGUCCCCUCCGCCAGCCCCGUGCUGUGACACCGGGGGCUGCCCCGGCCGUGUCCCCUCCCGCAGCUCCGGGCCGGGCGGGGGGGACACGAGCGGGAUCUCCGCUGCCUC